rnacentral:rRNA from 1 species
CUCUGAUUCAGCGGCGGACGGGUGAGUAAUGCCUAGGAAUCUGCCUUGUAGUGGGGGACAACGUCUCGAAAGGGACGCUAAUACCGCAUACGUCCUACGGGAGAAAGCAGGGGACCUUCGGGCCUUGCGCUAUCAGAUGAGCCUAGGUCGGAUUAGCUAGUUGGUGAGGUAAUGGCUCACCAAGGCGACGAUCCGUAACUGGUCUGAGAGGAUGAUCAGUCACACUGGAACUGAGACACGGUCCAGACUCCUACGGGAGGCAGCAGUGGGGAAUAUUGGACAAUGGGCGAAAGCCUGAUCCAGCCAUGCCGCGUGUGUGAAGAAGGUCUUCGGAUUGUAAAGCACUUUAAGUUGGGAGGAAGGGCAGUAAGCGAAUACCUUGCUGUUUUGACGUUACCGACAGAAUAAGCACCG